CUAACACAUGCAAGUCGAGCGGAAACGAUGGUAGCUUGCUACCAGGCGUCGAGCGGCGGACGGGUGAGUAAUACUUAGGAAUCUACCUAGUAGUGGGGGAUAGCACGGGGAAACUCGUAUUAAUACCGCAUACGACCUACGGGAGAAAGGGGGCAGUUUACUGCUCUCGCUAUUAGAUGAGCCUAAGUCGGAUUAGCUAGAUGGUGGGGUAAAGGCCUACCAUGGCGACGAUCUGUAGCUGGUCUGAGAGGAUGAUCGGCCACACCGGGACUGAGACACGGCCCGGACUCCUACGGGAGGCAGCAGUGGGGAAUAUUGGACAAUGGGGGAAACCCUGAUCCAGCCAUGCCGCGUGUGUGAAGAAGGCCUUUUGGUUAUAAAGCACUUUAAGCAGUGAAGAAGACUCUUCGGUUAAUACCCGGAGACGAUGACAUUAGCUGCAGAAUAAGCACCGGCUAACUCUGUGCCAGCAGCCGCGGUAAUACAGAGGGUGCAAGCGUUAAUCGGAAUUACUGGGCGUAAAGCGAGCGUAGGUGGCUUGAUAAGUCAGAUGUGAAAUCCCCGGGCUUAACCUGGGAACUGCAUCUGAAACUGUUAGGCUAGAGUAGGAGAGAGGGAAGUAGAAUUUCAGGUGUAGCGGUGAAAUGCGUAGAGAUCUGAAGGAAUACCGAUGGCGAAGGCAGCUUCCUGGCAUCAUACUGACACUGAGGCUCGAAAGCGUGGGUA
rnacentral:rRNA from 1 species